rnacentral:lncRNA from 1 species
CAAAAGUUAGAAACCAACUACAUUUUUUUUCCCUACAAGCAAUAUCUUCUCAUACUUGUUGCUAAGCUAGUAUUUAGGACACUGGCUGCUGUAACAUUCAGUACUGUCAGGAGUGAGGUGGCCCAUGAGGCCCUCAACACACACCCCCACAACUCCUGCCUAACUUCCUGAUCACAUGUUCAUAACUCGGCCUCCUCUGUCCUGCUUCAGCGUGCAUGAGUCUGUUCUGCUGAUAAGAGCUCUUGACGAGGGUCUGCUGGAGCUCUAAUUGUUUGGGCCCACUUCACUCUCUUGGCUCCUGGCAUGGGUCACCUCCACGUCCCCUGCUGACAAAGCCAUUCCUCUCCGCUCAUUUCUCCCAGCUGUUUUCACUGUGUUCACAUUACGAAAAGACAAUAAAACACAACACUUUCCUUUACUGGCAACUUUUCUUUCUCCAGCACAGAGGCACUUGACUUAAAGCCACCCAGCAUGAGAGUCACUCAGAGCAGAGCUUUACUGUAAGCCCUGAGAGCGGUUUUCUCAUCUGCUGCUUGAUAAGACACAGCCGCUGGAGGGAAGGAGGAGAUGCAGUAUCUGUGUGUGCUUAUCAGAGAUCAGACUCAACUCCCACUGCAUGCGUCUGCCGGCUGACUAGACCGUGUCUUCUGAUGCUUUGGAUCGAUGCACACUAGAAUAAACAUCAGCCAAAAUUUUAAAAAGUGCAGGCAACUGCUUUAUCUUCAUACCUGACCUGCUACGAGCCUCAUCUUUCUGCCGGAUGCUUCCCUUCACUCAGAGCCGCCGCCGCUGCUUCACAAGCUACAAGCUAGAGUGAUUAAACUACAGUUAAACUAUCCUAUAAAAAUAGUUAAAAGUCAAACAAAAUAAUACUAGAAUUGGGUAUCAGCAACUACAUAAUAAGCAAAUCGCAAUUCAUCAUGAUUGCAUAAUUAGAAAUUGUUUGAUACUUACAAGACGGUAGUGAAAUACUCACAGAUCCUAAAAACGAGCACUUGAGACUCAAAAACAAACGAAAAACAUUUCUGCUUCCUUCAUUUAAUUGGUCCAUCUCUGAUAUCGCACAAAUUCAAUUGAGGACAUUCCCACAGUACUCUGAGAUCCAGACACCAUGAGACAGGGCCGACCUAUGACCCCCUCAUGAUUAACUGCCCAUAAAGCACUGUGCUCCACCUGUUAUCGGGUUAUCUGGAAGGCCUGCGUGUUUUUUCCCCAUCACUGCCUCCAGUAAAACAACUAAUCAGCUCUCACGGACUGUAAAGUGCCAUGCAUCACUGAAUGGAGAGCU